GGGGUCGUCGUCUAGCUUGGUCUAGGAUCCCAGUGUUUCAGUCGGGCCAAAAGUCUCGGGUUCAAAUCCCGACGACCCCACCA
rnacentral:tRNA from 1 species